rnacentral:rRNA from 1 species
CGAUCCUCCCACCCUUUGUGUACCUACCUCUGUUGCUUUGGCGGGCCGCGGUCCUCCGCGGCCGCCCCCCUCCCCGGGGGGGUGGCCAGCGCCCGCCAGAGGACCAUCAAACUCCAGUCAGUAAACGAUGCAGUCUGAAAAACAUUUAAUAAACUAAAACUUUCAACAACGGAUCUCUUGGUUCUGGCAUCGAUGAAGAACGCAGCGAAAUGCGAUAAGUAAUGUGAAUUGCAGAAUUCAGUGAAUCAUCGAAUCUUUGAACGCACAUUGCGCCCUUUGGUAUUCCGAAGGGCAUGCCUGUUCGAGCGUCAUUACAACCCUCAAGCUCUGCUUGGUAUUGGGCACCGUCCUUUGCGGGCGCGCCUCAAAGACCUCGGCGGUGGCGUCUUGCCUCAAGCGUAGUAGAACAUACAUCUCGCUUCGGAGCGCAGGGCGUCGCCCGCCGGACGAACCUUCUGAACUUUUCUCAAGGUUGACCUCGGAUCAGGUAGGGAUACCCGCUGAACUUAAGCAUAUCAAUAAGCGGAGGA